rnacentral:rRNA from 1 species
UACGUAGGUGGCAAGCGUUAUCCGGAUUUAUUGGGCGUAAAGGGAACGCAGGCGGUCUUUUAAGUCUGAUGUGAAAGCCUUCGGCUUAACCGGAGUAGUGCAUUGGAAACUGGGAGACUUGAGUGCAGAAGAGGAGAGUGGAACUCCAUGUGUAGCGGUGAAAUGCGUAGAUAUAUGGAAGAACACCAGUGGCGAAAGCGGCUCUCUGGUCUGUAACUGACGCUGAGGUACGAAAGCGUGGGGAGCAAACAGG